rnacentral:lncRNA from 1 species
AAAAACAUGUUCCUUCACAUACUAUUCGAUUGUAAUGUACAGGCACUCAAAGACAGGCUGCACGCGAAUUAGUUAAAAUGAAACAUCUCAAUCUAUUACGGUUCACUGCUUAACAAUGCAAAACCGCAUUCAGCCUACUUGGAUACAUCCAUCGCAAUUCAGAAGCGAAACCCAUCAUCUAAGCUCAACACGUCUCAAACGUCAUCGGAUAGUUGAUCGCUCAAGCAGACGAUAUUUCCAAAUUUUCCAAGUAGAGUGGGUUGUGGCUACUGUGAACAGUGCAGAUUCACAUGGCUGUCAGUGUUAGGAGAGCUCUAAGUGGAGUAACUUCGAUGUCAAAAAUAACCGGUUAAAGUUGAUGAUCGUUAAACUAUUUUAACAGAUGCAUACGUUGGCAAUUCGGAACAAUCGAGAAAAGCGGAACCCUACGCAGCCAAGAACCGAUAGAUGUACAUCUGAAAAGGAACGACUACAAUCGUAGUCAAGUGUGUACACUAUCUAAAACGAUUCAUACACUCACAUUUCAGAACAUUUCCAUCAUUACCACUGAAGGUUUAACAAGCGUUGGGGUGCCCUCAAAUGACAGAAUCAAACUUCAUUCCAAACGGUCUAAACACUCACAACGCACGUUAAGGAAAUAGUGCCUCUGAUUAGCAUCUACAUAUGAUGUAUCCACCAGGCCCACUUAAGCCUCGGCCUUCUGGUACACGUAGGUCAGACCACACUUCCCACAGUAGUGUCGGUCGAAAUGGUUCGCCAUGAACGUACCCGCCCCGCAAUCAGGGUUAGGGCACUCCUUCCGCAGCCGCUGCACCUUACCGGAGUCAUCCACUUUGUAAAACUGCAACACAGCGAGCUUCACUUUCUUCUUCUUGUGUUUCAGUUUCUUCGGCUUCGUGUAGGUUUUUUUCUUCCUCUUCUUCGCUCCACCUCGCAGGCGAAGCACCAGGUGCAGGGUCGACUCCUUCUGGAUGUUGUAGUCAGCCAGGGUACGUCCAUCCUCGAGCUGCUUUCCGGCGAAGAUCAACCGCUGCUGGUCGGGGGGAAUUCCCUCCUUGUCCUGGAUUUUCGUCUUCACAUUGUCGAUGGUAUCAGAAGACUCCACCUCGAGGGUGAUAGUCUUGCCCGUCACUGAAUAAAUCACAGAAACACGAGCGCUCGCAUCAGCGCCGCAAUCUCAACCAUAUACACGGAUGUCAGAGUUCACUCAAGAAACAAAACAAAUAAAAUACAACGCAGUAGCCAAGUUGAUCAAAAUAAUCGACAAACAAUCAACUCACGGGUCUUCACGAAGAUCUGCAUGGCUGCAGAUCGGCACGCCCCGCUCCGC